AGACUCCCACUAGAAACACCCUUCUUCCCCCCCCCCCCCCUUAGGAGGAGGAUUCCCUCUUUAGUUAGUGUCAGCUAAUCCAGUUUCUAAUCUAUUUAAUAUGGCCCGUAUUGAUUUUUUUUUAGUGUUAAACUUUUUAAUCAGAAUGUCACAUGGGACUCAAACACAUUACAGAAAUUAAAGAUAGUUGUGUUGAUAUAUUUGGUUAACCCAACUUGUCAUUUCAGACACACACUAUUAUUUUUUAAGAUCUAUUUUCCAUAAAACCUUGUUGAUCAUGACCAAUUAUGCUACCAUCCUUUAAUUCUUUACUGAUUGGAUCCCAUACAAUCCUUUCCAUGACUUUGCCUGGGAUUAAUGUCAGACUAACUGUCCUAUAUGACUUGCAUCUGAACAAGUGAGGUUCUUACCCACGAAAGCUUAUGCUCCCAAUACUUCUGUUAGUCUUAAAGGUGCCACAGGACCCUCUGUUACUUUUUAACUGUCCUAUAGUUAUUCCUGAUCGUCCCAGUUACCCUUUCUAAACAUUGGUACAACAGGAGAGUAUUUUCAAGUCCUCUGGAACUUUCCAUUAUUCCAAGAUUUGUUAAAUCAAUAUUAACGAUUCAGAGAACUCUGUCAAUUCUCUAAUCUUGGAUGCAGGUCAUCCAGAUCUGAUGAUUUUAAAAAUAUUUAAUAGUUGCUGUUCCUACUUACUGGUGGAAUAGCAAGGAUGUUAACAUGUCAUCUUAUCACUGUAAUAUAUUAAAAAUAUACGAAACAUCAUUGUACUACAGUAGAACUUCAGAGUUAUGAACCCCAGUGUUACAAACUGACUGGUCAACCACACACCUAAUUUGGAACUGGAAUUACCCAAUCAGGCAGUAGCAGAGACCAUAAAACACCCAAAACACACAGAUACAAUACUGUGUUAAACAUAAACUAUUAGAAAAAUAAAGGGAGAGUUUAAACAAGAUUUGACAAGGUUAGGAAACUGUUUCUGUGCUUGUUUAGUUUAAAUAAAGAUGGUUAAAAGAAGCAUUUUUCUUCUGCGUAGUAAAGUUUCAAAACUGUAUAAGGUCAAUGUUCAGUUGUAAAUGUUUGAAGAACAACCAUAAUGUUUUGUUCAGAGUUACUAACAACCUCCAUUCCUGAGGCGUUUAUAACUGAGGUGCCAUCUUACUUUCCAAACACAGAAUUAUUAUUGAAUACUUUUGCCUUUUUCCAUAUUGUAAUUGAUAUCUUUAUAAUCCUUAUCUAAUUUCAGACCUAUGAAAUUGUUCAGAUUUAAUUUGUUCCUGAUAUAUUUAAAGAAUUCCUUCCGAUUGUCCUUAGCCCUAAUGACCAUAGAGAUAGAGAUAUAGAUAUAGAUAUUUUUCCCCGUUGAUAUCUUUAGCUUCUUUUAUUAAUUGUAUGCAGUUCCUAACUACCAGUUUUAACUCAUUACUACUAAUUGCCCUAUUCUAAAUGUGUUCAGAUGCAUGUAUAGGACUUUUAUUACUUUAUUUUACAGAUGCCUCAUGGUAAAGAUAGUUGCUUGUUUUAAAGAAAUGCUGGAGAGCUCGAUGAUCUCAACAUUAGCAGGAGAUUUCCAGCUGAUAAAUGCAGAAUUUGACAUGCCUCCAAUCUACCCAAACAGAAAAGUCUUCUUCCUCACUCAGAACUUUUGCCAUUCAAUUGUCAUGUUGAAACAUCACCCAGGACAGAUUGGAAGUGGAAAGCCUACAUGUGUGCCUUAAGCUACUGUAUCCUAAUGUUUUAAAGUUAGAAAAAGAAUAAGGUACCUAAUGUUUUUAUCAUUGUACGUUUCCUAUCAACACUCCAAGUUAAUAAAUAUGAUCUGCAUAUUA